rnacentral:rRNA from 1 species
AUGAGCGCCAUGGUGGCGUCGUCGCUCAACCCGGAGGCCCCGCUCUUCAUCCCGGCAGCGUUCCAGCAGGUGGAGGACUUCUCGCCGCAGUGGUGGGACCUCGUCAAGUCCACCGCCUGGUUUCGCGACCACUGGUACCACCAGCACCAGCAGCUCGAUGCCAUGGCCGACUCCCUCGUCGCCUUCGAGGCCGAGGACGCCAUCCACGACGACCUCUUGCACGGCUUCGCUGUCGUCGUCGAGGCUUCGCAGCCGCACCCGCCAGCGGCACUCAAGACUGGUACGUACUCCCAAACCAACUCACCUUGUGAUGUGCCAUGCUCUGGCUGCUGCCGUGCCGCCGUCUCAUCUUUCAAGUCUUCUUCUAGUAUACUGUAG